UACGUAGGGACCAAGCGUUGUUCGGAUUUACUGGGCGUAAAGGCGCGUAGCGGCGUGUUAAGUCACUUGUGAAAUCUCUAAGCUUAACUUAGAACGGUCAAGUGAUACUGAUGUGCUAGAGUGCAGAAGGGGCAACCGGAAUUCUUGGUGUAGCGGUGAAAUGCGUAGAUAUCAAGAGGAACACCUGAGGUGAAGACGGGUUGCUGGGCUGACACUGACGCUGAGGCGCGAAAGCUAGGGUAGCAAACGGG
rnacentral:rRNA from 1 species